rnacentral:tRNA from 1 species
GUAGUUUAGUUGGUAAAGCGCUUGUUUGGCAUACAAGAUUCGUGGAUUCAAAUCCCACC